rnacentral:rRNA from 1 species
GAUGAACGCUGACAGCAUGCUUAACACAUGCAAGUCGAUCGGGAAGUGGUGCUUGCACCAUGGCAACCAUGGCGGACGGGUGAGUAACGCGUAAGGGACUUACCUGCAGGACUGGGAUAACAGGGGGAAACUCCUGACAAGACCGGAUAAUGUCAUGGAGCUGCAUGGCUUUAUGAUGAAAGGAGACGCCUGCGGAGAGCCUUGCGUCCUAUUAGCUAGUUGGUGAGGUAAUGGCUCACCAAGGCGAAGAUAGGUAGCCGGCCUGAGAGGGUGGACGGCCACAAGGGGACUGAGAUACGGCCCUUACUCCUACGGGAGGCAGCAGUGGGGAAUAUUGGACAAUGGGGGCAACCCUGAUCGAGCAAUUCUGUGUGCACGAAGAAGGUUUUCGGAUUGUAAAGUGCUUUCAGCAGGGAAGAAGUAAGUGACGGUACCUGCAGAAGAAGCGACGGCUAAAUACGUG